AUUGAACGCUGGCGGUAGGCCUAACACAUGCAAGUCGAACGGCAGCACAGUAAUAGCUUGCUCUUUCGGGUGCCGAGUGGCGGACGGUGCCUGGAUACAUCGCUAUCUACUUUUUCUUGGGGGCUGACGUGGGGACUCAUACCCUAAUACUCCAUACGACCUACGUGUGAAAUCAUGGGAUCUUCCGCUCUUGCACGAUCCUAUGACCCGAUGUCGGAUUAGCUAGUUGGCGGGGUAAAGGCCCACCAAGGCGACGAUCCGUAGCUGGUCUGAGAGGAUGAUCAGCCACACUGGAACUGAGACACGGUCCAGACUCCUACGGGAGGCAGCAGUGGGGAAUAUUGGACAAUGGGCGAAAGCCUGAUCCAGCCAUACCGCGUGGGUGAAGAAGGUCUUCGGGUUGUAAAGCACUUUUGUUGGGAAAGAAAAGCAGCAGGUUAAUACCCCGCUGUUCUGACGGUACCAAAAGAAUAAGCACCGGCUAACUUCGUG
rnacentral:rRNA from 1 species